UGUACUUUUAGAACUUCUAAAACACCGCAUAGGUUUUAUUAACAAUGGUUUACUUUUACAACUAUAAAAAUCUUGUUAACCAUUUAAAGGAGAACAAAGCUCAUUUUGUAGAUUUCCGAAAUUUGUAUUUCCGGUUUUACUUCCGGUUUUAAAAUGCCAAAUAACUCCUUAUUUGUUGGUCUGUCAAAAAAAGAUUCACAUUUUCGUGAUCACUCGUCAAAUUUGGGGUCGACUCCAUGGGUCAGCUCAAAAUACCCGAAAAUCGUCAAAAAUUGCAAAUUUUCCUGAGUCAUAGAAUAUAUUUUCAUGUUGACAUGACAAAGACGUAUCUUAUGUGACAGUUUGGAUGACGGUGACUGGGGCAGGCAAGCCUGUGAGAGGUAAACUUUUGUUAAAAUUGACUGCGAUUUAAUGUGAAAAAGGCUCUGGAGGAAGAUAGAUGUUGUAUUAUGUAGCAGUUGAUGCCGGGUGUUCAAGUGAGGGUGGCGCCAUUGGUGGCGUGGCAGCUGGCAAAAAUUUGGCCAAAAGUGAAAAAGGGGGAAGGGUAUAAGGUAUAUAGCCUUCCCACUUUUGUCAAAAUCUGCAAAACGACAUCUCUUGAAAUUUGACGAAAAAUUACCUUUCGAAUUACCUGGUACAACACAAUCACCACACCAGCGCCACACCAGCGCCACCUGGUACCCACGGGGCAAUAGGCGUGACCCAUCAGUAAAAUUCCAGACAGGUAUGUGUGCAUUGUGCUGUCGUUAAUAAUCACAAAGAAUCCAUGAUUUUUUAAUCGACUGUGACGAAUCCAUUGCCUAAGAAAAGUUCUGAGUUCCGCAAAAAGCAAACAAGACUGCCGGGGAAAACUCAUCAAAACGAAAUGUAUGGCCCCUAUCAGUAACAUUACAGUGUAAUACAUAAACACACAUCAAACAAUAGGAUAACAUUUUAAUUUGAAGUUGUUGAAACUUUUACUCUUCGUUCUGAUCUGCACAAGGUUGGCUUCUUGUAAACAAGCCUGCAAUCACCUAUGAACAAAUUAUGCAGUAUGAAAAGCUCAUUCCUUAGAAAAAUUUGUGGCUAUGGAAUUGCUCGAGAUUACUCUUAGGGCAAAAAUGUUCUCCUGCUUCAUGGAUCAAGAAAAAUUGGUUGUCGUGAUGUCUGAUAUCAACUAAGUGUCAUUGGAAAGAUAGGAAAAAGAUAUUUAAGGCAAUACAUAGAAUUCUAAAAGUUGGAGUGUCUUACCUGUUUAUCUUGCUCCAAGAACAUAUUGCAGUGCCUUUAUUGUGUCAUGCUUUCAUAACUGAGGAGUAUUGGAGGAGGAGAGGAGAUGUAUUGAGCUUUAUGGCUACCGAAAUAUUUGAUUAAAAUCUUCAUAUAUAUCGGUUUAUUAGAUAUAUUGUAAUGCUUUCACAUUUUAAACUUAACUCUUUUGGGUAUCGAUCCCCAAACUUUCGGCGUGCAUUGCCGAUUCUCAACCGUUGAGCCAUGAGUUAUAUUUGAUUCUGUACUGAUGUUAGAAGGCCCGAAAAGAUAUUAAAGGCAAUUCGUAAAACUAUAUGCUAACCUGAAUAAAUGUUUUAUAAGGAUCAUA
rnacentral:lncRNA from 1 species